CUCAUGCCCCUUAUGACCUGGGCUACACACGUGCUACAAUGGUUGGUACAACGAGUUGCGAGUCGGUGACGGCGAGCUAAUCUCUUAAAGCCAAUCUCAGUUCGGAUUGUAGGCUGCAACUCGCCUACAUGAAGUCGGAAUCGCUAGUAAUCGCGGAUCAGCACGCCGCGGUGAAUACGUUCCCGGGCCUU
rnacentral:rRNA from 1 species